rnacentral:rRNA from 1 species
GGACGAACGCUGGCGGCGUGCUUAACACAUGCAAGUCGAACGCUGAAGCCUGGCUUUGUGUUGGGUGGAUGAGUGGCGAACGGGUGAGUAACACGUGAGUAACCUGCCCCCUUCUUCGGGAUAACGGUCUGAAAGGGCUGCUAAUACCGGGUAUUCACUGGUCCUCGCAUGGGGGUUGGUGGAAAGGUUUUUCUGGUGGGGGAUGGGCUCGCGGCCUAUCAGCUUGUUGGUGGGGUGAUGGCCUACCAAGGCUUUGACGGGUAGCCGGCCUGAGAGGGUGACCGGUCACAUUGGGACUGAGAUACGGCCCAGACUCCUACGGGAGGCAGCAGUGGGGAAUAUUGCACAAUGGGCGCAAGCCUGAUGCAGCGACGCCGCGUGAGGGAUGGAGGCCUUCGGGUUGUGAACCUCUUUCGCCCGUGGUCAAGCCGCGACUUUGGUUGUGGUGAGGGUAGUGGGUAAAGAAGCGCCGGCUAACUACGU